AGCAUUGAUAACAGUCCACAAUCUUGCCAUG
rnacentral:piRNA from 1 species